UCUACUAUCUACAAAGAUCUCCCACUAUUUUUUUAGGAAGGUUGCUUGUGAUGAUUUACAAAACCAAACGGACUUUUACGCAAAAACUUGCAAUGAGUGUCGAAACAUUUCCCUCUGUCCUUCUCUUCACUAUUAUGACUAUUGCCCGGAAGUACAGUUUAUUGCGAGAAUUGAUACCGAAAACAUAUUUUAUUAUGCAUUUUUUGUCUCAUUUUGUGCUCUCCUCUUUGUAAUACUUUGGAAAAGACAUGAAACGUACCUCAUGUGGAUAUGGGAAAUGAAUGAAAAAUGUAUAAACAAAUUACGUCGACCUGAAGUUCUACAUUACCCAAGAAUAUUUUACAUAAAAUUAAAUCUGUCUGCUUUAUCAAUGGGCUAUCAGAAUAUAUUAGUCAUUAUUAUAAGAGGAUUCAUAAUAUUAUUCACAAUGGCAAU